rfam:Brassica napus, WGS project CCCW01000000 data, contig: 16453
AAGUGGUAACGAGAGAGAGACAGGGAACAAGCAGAGCAUGGAUCGAGUUUUUACCAAAACAUCAAAUGACUAUGUUUGGUCUCUUCCCAUGCACUGCCUCUUCCCUGGCUCCCUGUUUCUCCUCCCUUC